AGUGAACGCUGGCGGUAGGCCUAACACAUGCAAGUCGAACGGCAGCACAGUAAGAGCUUGCUCUUACGGGUGGCGAGUGGCGGACGGGUGAGGAAUACAUCGGAAUCUACUUUUUCGUGGGGGAUAACGUAGGGAAACUUACGCUAAUACCGCAUACGACCUACGGGUGAAAGCAGGGGAUCUUCGGACCUUGCGCGAUUGAAUGAGCCGAUGUCGGAUUAGCUAGUUGGCGGGGUAAAGGCCCACCAAGGCGACGAUCCGUAGCUGGUCUGAGAGGAUGAUCGGCCACACUGGAACUGGGACACGGUCAAGACUCCUACGGGAGGCAGCAGUGGGGAAUAUUGGACAAUGGGCGCAAGCCUGAUCCAGCCAUACCGCGUGUGUGAAGAAGGCCUUCGGGGUGUAAAGCCCUUUUGCUGGGAAAGAAAAGCAGCAGGUUAAUACCCCGCUGUUCUGACGGUACCCAAAGAAUAAGCACCGGCUAACUUCGUG
rnacentral:rRNA from 1 species